rnacentral:rRNA from 1 species
CGUAGGGUGCGAGCGUUAAUCGGAAUUACUGGGCGUAAAGCGUGCGCAGGCGGUUUUGUAAGACAGGCGUGAAAUCCCCGGGCUCAACCUGGGAACUGCGCUUGUGACUGCAAGGCUAGAGUACGGCAGAGGGGGGUGGAAUUCCACGUGUAGCAGUGAAAUGCGUAGAGAUGUGGAGGAACACCAAUGGCGAAGGCAGCCCCCUGGGUCGAUACUGACGCUCAUGCACGAAAGCGUGGGUAGCAAACAGGAUUAGAUACCCUGGUAGUCCACGCCCUAAACGAUGUCAACUAGGUGUUGGGUGGGUAAAACCAUUUAGUACCGGAGCUAACGCGUGAAGUUGACCGCUGGGGAGUACGGCCGCAAGGUUA